GUGAAUCAUCGAAUUUUUGAACGCAAAUUGCACUCUCUGGUUUUCCGGGAGAGAAUGCCUGUUUGAUGUUCUGAUUAUAAAAUAAUCGAGGUUUCGGCUUUGGUGGCUCUUCGGAAUUGGGUCAUCUUCCAUCUUGCUGGUUUGUAAGCGGCCUAAAAUUUUUCUUACGAUUUCUACGAACGUGUCUAAGAUUAUUUUGUACGUUCGCGACGUCGAAAUCAUAUUAGUGGCGUC
rnacentral:misc_RNA from 1 species